rnacentral:rRNA from 1 species
GAUGAACGCUAGCAGCAGGCCUAAUACACGCAAGUCGGACGGGAUCCAUCGGAGAGCUUGCUCGAAGAUGGUGAGAGUGGCGCACGGGUGCGUAACGCGUGAGCAACCUACCUCUAUCAGGGGGAUAGCCUCUCGAAAGAGAGAUUAACACCGCAUAACAUCAACAGUUCGCAUGUCCGGUUGAUUAAAUAUUUAUAGGAUAGAGAUGGGCUCGCGUGACAUUAGCUAGUUGGUAGGGUAACGGCUUACCAAGGCGACGAUGUCUAGGGGCUCUGAGAGGAGAAGCCCCCACACUGGUACUGAGACACGGACCAGACACCUACGGGAAGCAGCAGGAAGGAAGAUUGGUCAAUGGGCGGAAGCCUGAACCAGCCAGGCCGCGGGCAGGACGACUGCCCUAUGGGUUGUAAACUGCUUUUGUCCAGGAAUAAACCUAAAUACGUGUAUUUAGCUGAAUGUACUGGAAGAAUAAGGAUCGGCUAACUCCGUGCCAGCAGCCGCCGUAACAC